rnacentral:lncRNA from 1 species
AUUUUCCCAAACCCGGGGAUGCGGUGAAGUGCUUCUUCUGCAUGAUUUUGGCUGAAGAAUGCUCUGCAUUUCCUUGAUUUCUAUGGAGACCUCAGAGCUGGUUUUGCUUCUGCUGACACCUCAUCUAGCACCUUCUCUACCUCCCAGGGUCUUUGCCUCUAUCUGUGGUUUGGCAUUGUACCUGGGUACAGGAAGCCUUUGAUGAACUUAAAAGGAGAGCCUGGAGAAUCAUCCUGAUAGACUUUGAGUAGAAAUGGCUGGACAUACUUCAAACCACAUCUUAACAUGGUUCGAGCCAUCACUAGAAGGCAAGUGCUAACAGUAAAGGCUUAUUUGCAUUUUAUUUACAUUUAAUGGACUGAGCAUUGGCCAAUUUCCAUGGCAGAAAAAUAUAUUUCAUUUUCUAGGCACAACUUCUGGCUGUCAGACACUUGCUGCCUUUGAAUCUUGCAGCAACAUCACUAACCACAUCCCAGACAUAUUUCCAAAUUUCAACAUCUACCCCCAAAACAUAGGUGUCUGAGAGACUCCAGCAUUUUCGGACU